rnacentral:lncRNA from 1 species
AUGUCGGGGACAGCCAGGAAGGUGCCCGGAAAGCCCACUAUGAUGCUCCACCCUAGACCUGCCUUCGGGAUCCCCCAGAAAGUCGUUUUCUUCCCGGAUGCCAGCCCCAGGGUCAUGACUGGUCUUGGCGCACGCUCAGUCUCAUCUUCUCCCGGUGUUCUCGCGCGGCAAAAAUGGUCCCUAUCAGAGCAGUUUGAAAGCACAGAAGCAGGCAGCUCCGGGAUGAAGCAGGAACCAGGUGCGAAUCUCGGUGCUCGAUCUAACUGGUUUGGGAGCCAGCUUUUAGAUGGGAAACUGCCGAGCGAUAGCGUGGUCCAAGGAAUAGAAGUGCUAGAAACUAGGUUACGUAAUGAAGAUCAUUUGGAGAAAUUAGGACUUUUCGAUAGAAAUAAAGACAAUAGGAAUGGAAAAAGAGAACCUGAUAGUGAACUUUAUGCUUUUAAAAUUGUUCAUGAAGAAGGAGGGUGCGAAAUUCUACUGGAGUCUAGAUAGUAUAACUAGAAAUGAAGAGAGGAAGUGGAAGGAUGGAUUUGAGCUGAGCAUCAGGAACGUCCAAACAUUUACUGGCCCAAGAAUAACAUCAUCUGUCAUUCCAUCUCUCCCAGUGCUUUAUUCAUGCAUCCUACGACUGUCAAUUUCUCAUUAAUUUUUCGAGGCACUUACUCUUGCUGUAGCUAUACUCACUUCCUUUCUCAGUAUCAACCCCUUUUCCAAUCGGCAUUUGCUGACGAGUAAGGAGAUUAGAGUUCUGACCGACAGCCUUCUCAUCAUUAUUACUUAUGGAAAGCAUUUCUUCAGCAACACUUCUCUGAUGGCCACUGAGGUCUGAACUGCACUUCAGAGCGAUAUCCCAUUGAUUACCUGGAACCAACGGCUCUACCUCUUCAGUGAAGCAUAUUCACUACCUUGAAGAUAAUUUUCUUACACUGAUUUAGAAUAGAAGAUCAUCUGAAUUUUUUUCCAGUUUCAUAUAAUUCACAAUCACUCUUUGAAUAUUUAUCUAAUUUGAGAAUAAAAUCAUGCAAUUCCUUCAAAUUGAAGUCAAAAGGACCAUCAUCCAUGAAUCUUUGCAGGUCAUGUUCUUCCACAAAAAUUCCCAGCUUUUUACUCAUCUCAUUUACUGUGAACCCAGUUUCUACAUCUGAAGAAGACAAACAUAUACACAAAAAGACAUAUACACAUGUAUAAACACAAAUAGGAAUGUAACAUAAGAAUCAUUGCAGCUUGUGACCAUACUAAAUAUACAAAACUUCAUAGGUGUACUCAGUGUAAGCAAUGGCUUUUAAUAACCCAAGUCCUUUUUAAGAAGAGACAGACUGGAGGUGGUGCAGUGAAUAGAGAACCAGCCCUGAAAUCAGGAAGACUUGAGUAAAAAUCUGGCCUCAGACACUUACAAUUCCUAGCUUUGUGACCCUGGACAACUCACUUAACCCCAACUGCCUCAGCAAUAAUAAUAAUAAAAGAGAGAUGGAUAAUAUGUGAAACAUGAAUCUCAAAGUACUGGACCAAUCAGAGAAUUAUCCUCUCCCAAUGAAAUAUACACAUUCAGCAAAGGCAGGGGCCCAAGGCCAAGAUGACUGCCAAAUACUUAAUAAAAGUAGAUUAGAGUCUUUGUGCUGGAAUAAUUAGAGGGAAAACUGAGCUAAGGUGCAAUUGAAGACUUUCUCACACUGAUCAUAUCCAAAUCUUUUCAUUCCAGGGUAGUAAGGAAGAAAUGAGAGAAAGGAUAAGGUUGCUUCACAUACAUUAUAUGCAUUGGUUCUUUUCUAAUAUGCAUUUGCUGAUAAGUAAUAAGAUGAGAGUUCUGACUGACAGCCUUCUCACCAUUAUUACUUAGUGAGCAGUAAGUUUUUCCUUAAAGAGGCAGAAGAAAGUGACCUCAUAUGCAUAUAUAUGUAUAUAUAAUUUUAAGAUUAAAAGACUCAGUCAUUAUUUUGCCAGACCUUGCUGAUAGCAGGUAUCUAUGGAUGACCCCAUCCGGCCUUUCCACUUGAUUUAUACCUGGCUGCUCCCCUAUUCCCCACCCUAGAUACUAUGAUCCAGUGACAAUAGGCCCUUCAAUAUUUUUCCAGAAGUCAUUCUAUCCUGGUGCCCAACUUUACUACCUCAGACCUGGGCUACUCUAAUGCUCUGCUAUUACAGUCCAGCUGCCAUAGUGCCUCCACUAACCUUAAUUCCCAUUCUUUUGAAUUGCCUAUACUCUGGUUUCCAGCUUCAUUAUUCCACCAAAACUGUUCUCUCCAAAAUGCCAGUGCUCUCUUAACUGCCAAAUCCAGAGCCUUUUCUCAAUCUGCAGCCUCUCCCCCUCCCUGGUACAAGCCCUCAUCACCAGAUGUUAGAAGUAUUGCAAUGGUCUCUUGGUGUAGCUGCCCAGUUCAAUCCAUUCUCCAUUCAGCCACCAAAGUUAUUUUCAUAAAGCCACCUCCCUACUUAAUCUCCA